rnacentral:rRNA from 1 species
UACGUAGGGGGGCAAGCGUUGUCCGGAUUUAUUGGGCGUAAAGAGCGUGUAGGCGGCUUGGAAGGUCAGCUGUGAAAACUCGAGGCUCAACCUCGAGACGUCGGUUGAAACCACCUGGCUAGAGUCCGGAAGAGGAGAGUGGAAUUCCCGGGUGUAGCGGUGAAAUGCGCAGAUAUCGGGAAGAACACCCGUGGCGAAGGCGGCUCUCUGGGACGGUACUGGACGCUGAGACGCGAAAGCGUGGGGAGCGAACAGG